GAAGACAGGCAGAGACUGGGGUAAUGCAGCUACAAGGGAAUGUCAGAGAUUGCUAGCAAACACCAGAAGCUGGAAGAGGCAAUUAAGGAUUGCUCCCUAGAGCUUUUAGAGGGAGGACGGCUCUGCCACCUGCCUUGUUCUUGGACUCCUAGCCUCCAGAAUUAGGUCACCUGUUGGGCAAUAUCACCAUAGACUGAAUACAGAAGCAGAUAUUAGCCUCCAGCCUCCUGCUCAUCUGGACACUAGAGAGAGUGAGGUCAGCUAAAAACAAGAAAGAAAUUUAAAGCAUCCUGGGAAGUCAUCAUACCCUUUUUCUCCAAGAAAAUCUAGUUUUGCUUGUUUUUGUGUAUCCCACAACACCUGUGUUUGACUAUCUUUUUCACUUUGGAUUUGGAUUUUGGUGUGAUAUACACAGUUCCAAAAAAUCAAUGGAUAGAAAACUCAAUGGCAUAAAUAAGUGCUUAAAACAAUACUUCAAGAAAUGUUCAACAUUCCACGAGAACAAUAUCCACGUGAGAUGAAAAGAAAAGUCUAAGUUAGUUCCUGAUUCCUGGAAGCUGGGAAAGUCUCAUUCCAGUAACUACUUAAUACCCCCUGUCAGUCUCCUUCAAAGGCUGAAGCCAGCCUCUGACUGAAGCGCAGCCGCAAUGUUUCCUGUCUGGUGCCAGCACAGCUUGCCUGGACUUCUGAAAAUUGCAAGCGCUUGCUCCUUGCUAGUCACCACACUCCCCCUUUCUUAGUUGCAGACUCCCUCUUGCUGUGGUUUACCAGGUGCCCUUAUUGCCCCUCAUGCUUGUGUGCCACUUUGGACUUAAUCUGGCACACUUAACUCCCUUCAUCUACGCCUGAAGCUGGACAAGCUGAAGUGACUGCGUCACUUUCUCAAUUCUGGCUCCUGCCCACCGACCUUGCUCUGCUAGGAGGAAUUAGCUCUGCCUGGCCAGAACCCAAGAAGUGACAAAUCAAACUCGCUCAAUAGGUGGUAAUUAAACUUCUGGCUCUAAAGCCCAGAAUAGGUUGUCAAUGGGAUUUCACAGUGGCUCCCUGACACUAAGCAAGGAUGUAUUUCUACAUCUAGUUUUAAAUCUUAAACUCUAAUAGGAUUCUCAGAAAAGACAGUAAAGACUAAGGCCAAAAAAAGUUGUUUAAAGGGGAAAAUGACAGUAAGUACAAAAGAUAAUCUGGGGAAGACCUGGCAAUUCUGAAAUCAAAACAUCUGUUACUAAGUGGAUCAUGACUGCUUAGUUUCUAGGUGAGCUGAAUAAAAAUACUAACUGAA
rnacentral:lncRNA from 10 species